rnacentral:tRNA from 1 species
GGCCCUGUGGCUCAAAGGAGUAGGGCACUGGCCCCAUAUGCCAGAAGUGGUGAGUUCAAAUCCAGCCCUGGCCA